AAAAACCUUACCUACCCUUGACAUGCCAGGAAUCUUGCAGAGAUGUGAGAGUGCUCGAAAGAGAACCUGGACACAGGUGCUGCAUGGCCGUCGUCAGCUCGUGUCGUGAGAUGUUGGGUUAAGUCCCGCAACGAGCGCAACCCUUGUCAUUAGUUGCUACGAAAGGGCACUCUAAUGAGACUGCCGGUGACAAACCGGAGGAAGGUGGGGAUGACGUCAGGUCAUCAUGGCCCUUAUGGGUAGGGCUACACACGUCAUACAAUGGCCGGGACAGAGGGCUGCCAACCCGCGAGGGGGAGCUAAUCCCAGAAACCCGGUCGUAGUCCGGAUCGCAGUCUGCAACUCGACUGCGUGAAGUCGGAAUCGCUAGUAAUCGCGGAUCAGCUUGCCGCGGUGAAUACGUUCCCGGGUCUUGUACACACCGCCCGUCACACCAUGGGAGCGGGUUCUGCCAGAAGUAGUUAGCCUAACCGCAAGGAGGGCGAUUACCACGGCAGGGUUCGUGACUGGGGUGAAGUCGUAACAA
rnacentral:rRNA from 1 species